rnacentral:rRNA from 1 species
GGGAUUGCCCCAGUAACGGCGAGUGAAGCGGCAACAGCUCAAAUUUGAAAUCUGGCUCUCGGGCCCGAGUUGUAAUUUGUAGAGGAUGCUUUUGGUGAGGUGCCUUCCGAGUUCCCUGGAACGGGACGCCACAGAGGGUGAGAGCCCCGUCUGGUUGGACACCGAGCCUCUGUAAAGCUCCUUCGACGAGUCGAGUAGUUUGGGAAUGCUGCUCUAAAUGGGAGGUAUAUGUCUUCUAAAGCUAAAUACCGGCCAGAGACCGAUAGCGCACAAGUAGAGUGAUCGAAAGAUGAAAAGAACUUUGAAAAGAGAGUUAAACAGUACGUGAAAUUGUUGAAAGGGAAGCGCUUGUGACCAGACUUGGGCUUGGUUGAUCAUCCGGGGUUCUCCCCGGUGCACUCUUCCGGCUCAGGCCAGCAUCAGUUCGCCCUGGGGGAUAAAGGCAGCGGGAAUGUGGCUCUCUCCGGGGAGUGUUAUAGCCCGCUGCGUAAUACCCUGUGGCGGACUGAGGUUCGCGCAUUCGCAAGGAUGCUGGCGUAAUGGUCAUCAGUGACCCGUCUUGAAACACGGACCAAGGAGUCGUCUUCGUAUGCGAGUGUUCGGGUGUCAAACCCCUACGCGAAAUGAAAGUGAACGCAGGUGAGAGCUUCGGCGCAUCAUCGACCGAUCCUGAUGUUAUCGGAUGGAUUUGAGUAAGAGCAUACGGGGCCGGACCCGAAAGAAGGUGAACUAUGCCUGUGUAGGGUGAAGCCAGAGGAAACUCUGGUGGAGGCUCGCAGCGGUUCUGACGUGCAAAUCGAUCGUCAAACAUGGGCAUGGGGGCGAAAGACUAAUCGAACCUUCUAGUAGCUGGUUUCCGCC